rnacentral:tRNA from 1 species
UCAGGAAUCCCGAGGACGGGUGAUUUGCCUUUGAAGCAAGUUGUGAGAGUUCGAAUCUCUCUUCCUGAU